rnacentral:lncRNA from 1 species
UUUCUCUUUCAAGAAAAAGAAAAGAUUGUGGCCAACCAGUUCAAAAGGUGAGGGUCUGAGCAUGGGGUACAAUUUGUAUGGGUCACUCCCAGGAGCAGCCUACAUCACUGAUGCUGUGCUUCCAUCCUUGGCACCUCCAGCCAUGAAGAACUUAGGAUUUUGAAAGAAACUGAUUAAAAUACAUAUUCUCAGGAACUUGAACUGUUUGCCAAGAAUAUGAGUCACACCCCAGAUGAGGAGGAUUUUCAGCAGUAAGAAAUUUGCUCCUUCAUGCAACUUCCUUUACGAGAAAACGUGACCAUUGCAGUAGGUAAGCAAAUGUUUCUAUUUUGAAUAAGGUAUGCCUCAAUUCCGUACACUUGAUAUUUGAAAAUAUGUC